rnacentral:snRNA from 1 species
GGAUGUGACAGUGGUCUGGCUGGGACAUCUGCCCCCCCCCCCACACAUUGGUCGCCAGGGUUGAUGCGGCUGAUUUGGCUGCUUAGGCAGGUUUCCUCUUUCUCCCUCACCACACUUACGCUCCUCCUGACACUGUUCACAUGGUCAAGGGGGAUCUUCCCUGAAUAGAAGAGGACCACAGUCGAGGGUAGCGAGUAGCUGUGCUCCCUGCAGAGACCUCCAAACAGGCUCUAGAAACAUGUAUACAAGUCAUUUCAUCUAACCACCUACACCCUGAACUUCUGUGGGAGCAAGAGGGGAUUAUUCA